CCGUAGCUCAGCUGGAUAGAGCGCUGCCCUCCGAAGGCAGAGGUCACAGGUUCGAAUCCUGUCGGGUG
rnacentral:tRNA from 5 species